rnacentral:rRNA from 1 species
GGCUUUUUGUAAAUAUAAAAAGUCGUUACCUGCCCAGUGUAAAUAAUAAUAAUAAACGGCCGCAGUACCCUGACUGUGCUAAGGUAGCAUAAUAAUUUGCCUCUUAAUUGGUGGAUGGAAUGAAUGGUUUGACGAAAACAUAGCUGUCUCUAAUAUAUUACAUAUAAUUUAUCUUUUAGGUUAAAAUACCUAAAUUAAAUUGAGGGACGAGAAGACCCUAUUGAAUUUUAAAAAAAUAUUAUAAUAAAUCUAUUAUUAAAAUUUAUUUAUUAAAGUAAAAUUUUGGUUGGGGCAACCAAGGAACAAAAAAAGCUUCCUACUCAAUAAAAAAUAACUGUUAUUAGAUCCAGCAAUACGAAAUGCUGAUAAUAGGAAUUAAUUACCAUAGGGAUAACAGCGUAAUUUUUCUUGAGAGAUCUAAUCGAAAGAAAAGCUUGCGACCUCGAUGUUGGAUUAGGAUUCUUAAAGGGUUGUAGGAGCUCUUAUAAUUGGUCUGUUCGACCAUUAAAAUCCU